rnacentral:lncRNA from 1 species
UAAUGUUUGUUGUCAAGUAUUUCUGACUUCGUGCAUAAUCAUUACAAGAGGAUCAAUGCAUAUAAGUUUAGAAUCUAACAGAUUUCAGUAAAUGGCAUGAAUUUGAAAUUCUUGCAUUUGCAGUAAGGAUUUGGGAGUGUGAAAAGAGAAUCAUUGAAGUUAUGUUCAAUUGAUCUAGUUCACAAAGUAAAGAUCAUAGACAAACAUAGUAUGCAUACUUGGUGUGUGGCAUGACUAGUGUUUAAAAAAACAUAGUGUACAUGCUUGGAGCAUGGGACAACUAUUGUUUUAAAUUCAAGAAUAAAGUUGAUAGCUGAAACAAUAUACAAUGAAUAAUGUGUAAUCAUAUGGUGAUAAAUAAAAGGUGUUUUAUUUAUGUUCAUAGGUUUUGAUACCAUAUUGGAUUCAAUUAUUCUUGUGUUUCAUUUGCAUGUUUUUGACUUCCAGAAUAAACUAGGUUAUUCUUCCGGAAUGACUAAGUUAUUCAAACCAUCCACAGUCGGUCAUAUGUUGGAAGUAGAUAUGAAUUAAGACUGUCAUGGGUUGGCUUGUAGAGGUCUAAGGUGUUGGACAAAGGGCUACAACACUCAUGAGUGCUCAUAAGUUCUGAGUAUUGGAUUCAACCCGCGCUCAUUGGAAUCACUUCAUGGAUUUUAUCACGAGUGAUCAUGAGACGAUAAUAUCUUAUAUUCUUCAAACCUAGAGAUAUGAGUUGUUACUAUGAGUUGGUUGUACAUUGAUUGCACGAAAACGCAUUUGGUAACUCGGUGCUAUAAAACGUGCCUUUGUGUAUGAUUCAACAAGUAGUAGAACAAGCCAUAUGAGUCGAAGUUUAUCCAUUCCUUUUACCUUCGGGAUAAAAGCGAUAUCUGUGGGCCCCUCGAUGAUUUGAUGAUGACAAAUGGAAGUGCUCGGCCGGGCCAGGACUGAUUUGAUUUGUUCAAUUAGUCAGUUGUCAUAAAUCGGAAAUCAGGAAACAACAAAUGGACAGAGAGAAUGAUUAUAAUCCAUGUCUCAGUCCAUAUGAUAUCUAGAAUGGAGGAAUAUAUGAUCCCUUAUCUAAUGGACAAGUCAUUGACAAAGGUCAGAGUUCAUCUACAAGGUCAGAGUUCGACAGAAGCUUUUGAGAGCUACGAUUGCCAGUCGGUUCCUGAAGUCAUACGCAAUAAUAGUUUUAGACUUAUCCAAGUGGGAGACUGUUGGAUUAAUGUCUAAGUCCAUAACUAUAAUUGGUAAGACUUGACCCGACCCGGCAUGGUCCAUUUGGGUUGCAUGACAUCAUGCAUUUGGAUAGACUAUAAUGAGAGAAAUAAAACUGAAGGUUUGUUAAUAUAUUAUAAGUUCUAAUAUAUUAAUAAGGUUAUUUAAUUAGUAUUGAUCAAGAAUUAAUUUGGAAUUAAUUAAGUGAUCAAAAGGAGACUAAUUAAAUAUAUGGGUUGAUUGUGUAAAUCAUUCAUUCUUAUAUAUGUGGGCUUAUGAUCCAAGAUUCCUUAUGUUGGACUAAGUCCAUGGGGUGACCCAUGGAUACUCCAUGGAGGUUAAAAUCCAUGGAGCAUAAGGAAUGGGUAAAUACAUGUGUUACAUGGUGUAACCCUAAUAGCCACCAUAUAAAAGAAUCCCAUGGCUCAAGAAAUCGUGCACUAUGUGUGAGACUGAGGGCUAAACGAUUUCAAGUGUUCUACAUUUCUCUCAAGGUUAUUCCAAAAGCAUAUGAUGUUGUGUGAACCAUUUGAGGUGUCACACUUGGGGCACUAGGCACUCAAGCUUCAUGAAGAUAUUCUACAUCAAAGAGGUAUGUAUUCUAUCUUGCUAUAUUCAUUGUUUUGUAUGCUAGAUUAGGAUAAUACCUUGGAAGUUCAUAUUUGCAUGUAUAAUAGAGAAAACAUAGAUCCAAGGUAUUUAGGGUUGCAUGUACACUUAGGAGUGUUAGAAUGCUCAAAACCCAACAUCUUCUCCACUAUCUCUUAUUUAUUUCUGAUUAUUAUUCAUGUUUGUGUGUUUGUUUAUAGGAUCGUUCUUAGUGAAUGACAUAUCAGCUAUGGUACUAUUUGUUUUGGGGGCUACCAGAUCUUUUGUGUCGCUCGCACUUAGCAAGCGAUUUAGUAGAUAUCUGAGGAGCUGCAUUCCCACUUAAUGUAGAGACAGCAGAUGAUAGGAGCGUCAGGGUUGCGAGGGUUCAUAGAGGAUGUAUGCUACAGUUGUUCAAUCAAUAGUUUUCAGUGGAUCUGGUUCCUAUUCCCCUACGUGGGAAUAAGGUUAUAGUUGGUAUGGAUUGGUUGAGCCCCAAUGGGGAAGUGAUUGACUGCGAGCAGCAACUAGUGAGAGUUCGUACUCCUAGUGGGGGAGAGAUAGUGAUUUAGGGAGAGAGGCCACAACGCGGACCGAUUCUCUUUUCAUCAGUGAGGGCGAGGCGCCACCUUCAUCAGGGUUGCGCCAGAUACAUCGUCUAUGUCAUUGAUACCCGGGAUAAGGUUAAGGCGACAGUUGAUGAUGUACCGGUAGUGCGAGAGUACCCGAACGUAUUCCCGAAGGAUUUACCUGGGAUACCUACGGAGAGACAGGUUGAGUUUAGGAUUGACCUGGUUCCUGGUGUGGCUCUGAUAGCCAAGGCACCGUAUCGGUUGGCUCCCCCCGAGAUUUAGGAGUUGUCUACGCAACUGCAAUAGCUAAUAGACAAGGGUUUUAUCAGACCGAGCAAUUCACCAUGGGGAGCCCCGAUCCUGUUUGUAAAGAAGGAUGGGUCACAUCGCAUGUGCAUAGACUAUCAGGAGCUGAAUAAGGUAACGGUGAAGAAUCGUUACCCACUCCCGAGGAUAGAUGAUUUGGUUGAUCAGCUUUAGGGAGCAUCUUGGUUCUCCAAGAUUGAUCUACUGUCUGGGUAUCAACAGAUGCGAGUCAGGGAGGAUGAUGUUCAAAAGACAGCUUUUAGGACUCGUUAUGGUCACUAUGAGUUUGUGGUGAUGUCGUUCGGGCUCACCAAUGCUCCAGCCGCGUUCAUGGACCUCAUGAACCGCAUGUGGAGACCGAUGCUGGAUCGGUCUGUGUUCGUCUUCAUUGAUGUCAUCUUGGUUUUCUCCAUGACUCAAGAUCAGCAUCAGUAGCACCUGACGGAGGUAUUGGAUACACUGAGGAGGGAGAGCCUUUUCGCAAAGUUCUCCAAGUGUGAAUUCUGGUUGCAUGAGGUGCAGUUUCUUGGGCAUCUCGUCAACCAGAAGGGUAUCCUGGUCGAUCCAACCAAGAUAGAGGCCACGAUGCAGUGGGAGAUGCCGAGGUCUCCAACCGAGAUUCGAAGUUUCCUGGGUUUGGUAGGGUAUUACAGUAGAUUUAUUCAGGAAUUCUCCAAGAUCGCAGUUCCGUUGACCCGACUGACCAAGAAGUCGGUGGUUUUUCGUUGGGGAGCUAAACAGAAGGCAGCCUUUGAGACGCUCAGGCAGCGGUUGUCCGAGGCACAGAUUCACACUCUGCCAGAGGGUGUAGAUGACUUCAUAGUCUACUGUGAUGCUUCAAUAAUAGGCAUGCGAGCAGUUUUGAUGCAGCGGGGCCAUGUGAUAACUUAUGCUUCGAGGCAACUGAAGCCUCUUGAGGCUAACUAUCCUACAUACGAUUUAGAGCUGGGGGAAGUGGUGUUCGCCCUCAAUAUUUGGCGACAUUACAUCUAUGGGGUCCGGUGUACCAUUUACACGGAUCACAAGAGCUUGAGCUACCUCAUGGAUCAGCCGAAUCUGAACAUGAGGCAACGUUGGUGGUUAGAUGUGGUAAAGGACUAUCAUUAUGAGAUCCUUUACGACCCGGGCAAGGCCAACGUAGUGUCCGAUUCCCUGAGCCACAAGGCGGUAGAGGCCCCGAUCCGAGAUAUUUGUCUGAGGAUAACAGUCAUUACUCCAUUACCAGAGUAGAUCCAAGAGGCACAGGUUGAGGGCUUAAAUGAGGAGCGCCAGAAGUGCGACAGGAUUAUGGUCCGAGUGGCCUCAUUUGAUUAUGAUAGCCGAGGGUUGUUGACCCUGCAUGGGAGGGUCUGGGUUCCAUACUGGGGAGAAGUACGGCAAGUUCUGAUGGAUGAGGCAUCAUAGUUGAGGUGUACAAGCUUUCAAGGGUCAAGAACUACAAGUCCUUCAAAAGGUAUGUCAUUUAUCUGUUGGAUUAGUGUCUAAGUCCAUAACUAUAAUUGGUAUGUACUUGACCCGACUUGGCAUGGUCCAUUUGGGUUGCAUGGCAUCAUGCAUUUGGAUAGACUAUAAUGAGAGAAAUAACCCUUAAGGUUGAUUAAUAUAUUAUAAGUUCUAAUAUAUUAAUAAGAUUAUUUAAUUAGUAUUGAUCAAGAAUUAAUCUAGAAUUAAUUAAGUGAUCAAAAGAAGACUAAUUAAAUAUAUGGGUUGAUUGUGUAGAUCAUCCAAACUUGUAUAGUGGGCUAAGACUCCAUGGAUUGUCAAGUUGGGCUAAAACCCAUAAGAUGCUCCAUGGUAUAUUUGAACCCAUGGAUCCAAGGAAAUGGAAAGCCAUGACACUUAGGGUUUAACCUAAGUGUCACUAACUAUAUAAGCAUCUUAUUGUUGACAAAAUCGGCACUAGACUAUGUGUGAGAGAAAGGGCUAGCCGAUUUUCAUGAAGUGUGUAUAUUCUCUCAAGUUAUUCCAAGUGUAUUUGGUGUUGUGUGAACCAUUUGAGGUGUCACACUUGGGGCACUAGGCACUCAAGCUUCAUGAAGACAUUCUACAUCAAAGAGGUAUGUAUUCUAUCUUGUUAUAUUCAUUGUUUUGUAUGCUAGAUUAGGAUAAUACCUUGGAUGUUCAUAUUUGCAUGUAUAAUAGAGAAAACAUAGAUCCAAGGUAUUUAGGGUUGCAUGUACACUUAGAAGUGUUAGAAUGCUCAAAAUCCAACAGUGGUAUCAGAGCCAGGUUGUUUUCGAUUAUACUUGAUGCAAACUGUUUUUCCGAAGCCAAGAAUAUGUCAGGACCUGAAACUCGACGAGUUCUAGAGGAAAACUUGACGAGUUCAUGUAUUAGAGCAUGAACUGGACGAGUUCCAUGAAGAAAUCGACGAGUUUGUCACCCAGAAUGCAUAUCUUCGUGCUUUUUUGCGGGAAUUGGACUAGGAACAUUACCAAAAGUUGUUUUUGGACUUGUAAACCUAUUUUUGAUGUAGUAAUGUUCAUACUAAUCCAAUUUCAAAGAUAAUUGUCAAUAGAUUCAUGUUUUGUAUUAGUUUAAGUGUUAUGCUAAUUACAUGAAAAGGUUUGAUUCCAAUUAUCUUGUUCAUAUGAGUUGCUUAGAUUAAUAGAAAAGGUUGAUUGAUUAUGUGUCUUUGAUCCAUUUUAAUCUAAGAAUUGAUUCCAAAAUGUGUUUGUGUAACUUGUCCUCAAGUUACAUGAAAAGUCACUUUAAAGUUUCUUAAAACUCAUAAAAGUUGGCAAUGGUUACAAAAAUGAAGAGUCUUGUNNNNNNNNNNNNNNNNNNNNNNNNNNNNNNNNNNNNNNNNNNNNNNNNNNNNNNNNNNNNNNNNNNNNNNNNNNNNNNNNNNNNNNNNNNNNNNNNNNNNNNNNNNNNNNNNNNNNNNNNNNNNNNNNNNNNNNNNNNNNNNNNNNNNNNNNNNNNNNNNNNNNNNNNNNNNNNNNNNNNNNNNNNNNNNNNNNNNNNNNNNNNNNNNNNNNNNNNNNNNNNNNNNNNNNNNNNNNNNNNNNNNNNNNNNNNNNNNNNNNNNNNNNNNNNNNNNNNNNNNNNNNNNNNNNNNNNNNNNNNNNNNNNNNNNNNNNNNNNNNNNNNNNNNNNNNNNNNNNNNNNNNNNNNNNNNNNNNNNNNNNNNNNNNNNNNNNNNNNNNNNNNNNNNNNNNNNNNNNNNNNNNNNNNNNNNNNNNNNNNNNNNNNNNNNNNNNNNNNNNNNNNNNNNNNNNNNNNNNNNNNNNNNNNNNNNNNNNNNNNNNNNNNNNNNNNNNNNNNGUAGGACAAGGACUAUAAUUCUCCCUUCAUUAAAAGUAUUAAUGAUAAAUACUAAGUAACUAAACUCUUAUAAAUUCCCAAUCUUAGUUACUUAGGAAAAUGUGAAUUUGGUGCUAACCCAUGAAAUUACACUUUGCACUUUGCUUAAGUCGUUAGUGGAGUGUGUGUGGUUAACCGGCACACUAACCUGGAUUUAACAAGGUAGGCAAAGGGUAACUUAAUGUUUAUCAUAGUAUCGGUGGAGCGCGUGUGGUUAUCCAACACAUCAAUUGAUGGGUAAAUAUUAAGGGUACCAAGUAAUUUGCAUGGUUACUUCACACCUUGUUUUGUGAUCCUCGGCAUCCCAGUCAUAAAAACCUAAAGGGUACACUCGAGAUUGAAACAUGUCAUUGAAAAGUUCAAUUAAUCUCAAAAGAAUCUAGGAGUUUCAAAACCAAUUUAAACCUAAUUAUACAUUUCGUUUAUCUUGGUGGAAAUUGGUGAAUCGUCAUUCACCUACCUUCAAAUAUUUUAUAGCUUGGAUUACGGCAUCCCUCUUCUAAGUUAUAAAAUAGUUUGUUGGGUCCUAGCCUUAAUAUUUCAUAUUGGGUGUCAUAUUAAGGACUUUAAAUCAACUAUCUUGAAUAUCUCCCAAAAGAUGUCUAGUUCAGACAUCUAUGAUCUUCCCAAAUCUCUUGGAACUUCACAUCCUCCACCUCCUCUAAUUAUUCUCCCUAACCCACAAGUUCAAGGUCACUUAAGCCCUAUUGGCAAGCAAGGUCUAUGUGUGAUCGCAUCUUGGAGAUGAAGUCACAUAUUGACAAGCAGGGAGAGUUGGGUGUCAAACUCUUGAGAAAGUUGGUGGUUCAAUCACUUUCUAAGUCACAUAGUGAAUUCCUUUGGGACUACUAUGAAACAGACUAUGACAUGACCCUUAAUGAUCUUAUCGAUUUGCUUGGUGCUACUGAAUCAGCAAUAAUUUGGAGCACUGGGAGAGCAAAUUUGAUUAGUAGAUCAACUUCCGAAACUACCAUGGACACUGACAAUGGUAACAUUGGAUAUCUAGAAAAGCCUUCUCUUCCCAAGGAAAUGGAUUAACCAUAGUCAACUAGGUUGACCAAAUGGUAAAGAGAAAGGCUAAGUCUGCGAUAGUCCCAUGUACCAUUCCCAGAGAGUCCCUAUGUUUCUCUUGCCAAAGGAAGGCGCAUUGAUUGCAAAGCAGCCUAUUUACCUGAAAGAUCAUAAGGUUGAUCAAGUCAAGAAGAUUGACUCUACUUCAGGUAAAGUCCACUAUCUAACUCUGUUAAGUUUCUAUUCUGAGAUUCUUGUUACAUGAUGUGACUGGGUCACAUGUUGAUGUUUUAAGAAUCAAAGAAGAGUGAAGAAACUCAAAGGAAGUAUAUGCUGAUUUUGAUCGCGAAGAUGGAUCUCGAUCGCUUGGUUCUGUGAUCAGAAUUUUAAUUUGUUGCUUAGGAGUUAUGAUAUAUUCCUUAGGAAUAGAUAACAACAAAAUUUUUCAUGUGUUUUUGCACUGUAAGGAUAGGUUUCCCGCAAAGUUUUUAAAAUAAAAGGAAAAAAAUUGAUUUUAUUUAUUUUAAAGUAUCCUUAAAAUGGCGUUUGUGGAAAAUUGUUACUUAUAAGAUUCCAUUGAUAGCAAUAUUGGAAAGUGAUUUUGAUUCUUUCAUUUGUGGUAGUGUCUAAAUUUACCAAAUAAGGAAAGUUUCUCAUUACCUAAGUUCCAAUUGAACCGAAACUUGGAAUCAUGCAAGUUGUAUAGUAUGAUGAAUGAGAACUUUCAGCUUGGAAAAUUAAGACUAAAUCCUUAUGUGAAUAAGGAAACGACUAAGGGAUCGAGUACACAUUCUUGUGCACUGGUCAAGUCCAUCACAAAAGACCAAGAAGACUAGUCAUCAUGAUUUACUUAAGUUUAGUAAAUAUAGUUAUACUUACAAGUUUAAGUAUAAUUUUGAAACAUUGGAAAAGUUUCAAUGUAAGGCAGAACGAAUAAGAAGAGUCAAAUUAGGCAGAAAGAUAAAAGUUUCUCAAAUCUGAAAAAGAUGGGAGAGUACUUUAGUAUCAUGUUUUGUGAUCAUCUUGAUGAUUAAGAAACCAUAUCACAAUUGGUCUUCUAAGGACAUCUUAGUGCAUUCUAAUGGCUAAGAAGAGGAGUCGUGAAUUGUUGAAAUGGUUAAAUCAAGAAGAUGAGUCAUAUUUCAUUCCAAAAAAAAAUCUUAGAGUCAUACUCCAAGAUUGUAACUUGAGUGACAUAUCUUAAAGUAGAUUUAUAACACUAGUCAAAUGUAAGAGUAAAAUGUGUUCUACUCUUGUACAUUUGAAAUUGGAAAGUUGUGAUGUUUUGGAUAAAACAGAGACCAACUCAGGCCAAUUGUGUGAAGUGUUAGUCUUGAUAAAGAAUCUGCACUAUCUCUUGGAUAUUUGACAAGAGAGUCUUAUAUAUCAAGAGGACAGUGGGAGUCUUAAAGGUCUUGAAAGUCUCAAGAACUAAUCAAGAAUAAAACCUGAAGUUCUUCACUAGCACACGACUUGAGGUUUAUUAUGUGCCCAUUCCAAUUAAAAGUUGGCUUUGCAUAUGAGUUAUUAUAGUUCUCAAUUGGUUGCAGAACAACUUGGAAGCAAUGACGGACCUUUGAGCUGCCAGAUGGCAAGAAAUUAAGAUUGAGUUUGGAUUUGUCAUUAUCCUUGUCUUGUAACUAUGGUUUUGACAAUUCACAUGGAUAAGAACACAUACACCAUUAAAUCUAAGUGUCAUAAGGUUUCUCUCUGAUUCAUGAAAAUGAUGGCGAGGAAACACUUUCACUAAGUAGAUUUUUAAGUAGAUAGCAAUUGUGAUAUUUGCAUUCUCAAAGUCGUUGGUGGAGUGUGUGUGGUUAACCGGCACACUAACGUGGACUUGUGAGAAGUGGCAAAGGUCUAAACAAUCGAGACUAUGAUUACGGCAUCCCUUUUCAUAGUUCUUAAAAUUGUUUAGACACACCUCUGAGCUAUCUAUGAUAAGGUGUAUGAUAUUGAUAAAGUUUUAUCAAAGCAAUCUAGUAUUAGAAAUCUGAACUUUGGUAAGAAAGUCAAUAAAGUAUUGUUUUCUAGAAGUUCAGCUGAUUUAUAGGUACAUGUCAAAGCUAGUGGGAGCAUAAGUGUUAUGCUAGUAAGAUAAUAAUCAUUCUACUAGUGGGAGCAUGAUUAUUAUGUUAAUUGUUGCAAGUAAGCAAUGUUAAUUAUAGAAAAAAAAAAGUUGCAAUUUGCUUUGAAAAGUUGUUUUGCUAUAAUUAAGGGAGAGGAUUUUAUAAUUCAAUCCGAUUCUACAAGCUUAGAUUUAGAUUUUAAUAAACUUUAGUCAAGGAUAUAUAUGAAUGUUAUGUUGGAAUGGUUCAACAUAAUAUAUGUUGUGUUCUGAAAAUUUCGAUUAUGAUUACGACAUACCUCUUCAUAGUUCGAAUUAUGAGAACAUGGCAAAUAAAAAAAAUUUAUAGCAUGAAUCGUGUCCUAUAUGCUUCGGAUAUAGGAUCGAUUGCAUGUGCACUAAUAUUUAUCCAUUCUAAAUUUUCCUAAUGCUUAGGACAUUAAGAGGGGAAAAGGGAUUAGAACUGGAUAUGACUAAAAUGAUUAAGCAAUUGUCGAGGACAAAUUAAGGUUUACCAAAGAAUGGUUACUCGUGGACAAUUGGAAAUAUAGAGUAAGGACCAUAUUGACAUAUUUUGAAAAGAGACAACUCUUGUUCAGAAGUGAUAGUCAAAAGGGGAAUAUGGAAAUGAUCCCAUAGGUGAAAGUUGUUUAAUAAAUAUGUGUAAGAUUACGAAACUUAAUGCAAGAAGGAUGUUUCCAAGGAGUUGAUCUCCUUUGGAAUGCUCUGUAAUGUUUAUUGUCAAGUGUUUGUGACUUUGUGCAUAAUCAUUACAAGUGGAUCGAUGCAUAUAAGUUUAGAAUCUAACAGAUUUCAGUAAAUGGCAUGAAUUUGGAAUUCUUGCAUUUGCAGUAAGGAAUUGGGAGUGUGAAAUGAGAAUCAUUGGAAUUAUGUUCAAUCAAUCUCUUUCACAAAGUAAAGAUCAUAAACAAACUUAGUUUGCAUACUUGGUGUAUGGCAUGACUAGUGUUUAAAAAAAACAUAGUGUACAUGCUUGGAGCAUGGGACAACAUUUGUUUUUAAUUCAAGUAUAAAGUUGAUAGCUGAAACAGUAUGCAAUGAAUAAUGUGUAAUCAUAUGGUGAUAAAUAAAAGGUGUUUUAUUUAUAUUCAUAAGUUUUGAGACCAUAUUGGAUUCAAUUAUUCUUGUGUUUCAUUUUGUAUGUUUUGACUUCUAGAAUAACUA